GCUGGAGGGUCCAUGAGAUGGAAGUCGGUUGGGAUGGCCUGGGCCCUGGCCAGUGCCAGGAGGCCUGGUUCCGAUGCCCUGCUCGAAGCCAGCCAGUCCCUGAGGAGAGACAGUCAGUCAGCAGGCAGCACUUUCUGUGUCUUACGCAGCAGGUGACGGCAGGGAGUCUGACCCUGCUUUUACCAUGAAAACCAACAAUCUCAGCCAGGCAAGACCUGAAGACCAAGCUGGGACACAGGCCACAAAAGCCAUCUGAGUGACAGGGAUGGGGUGCAGGCCCAACCCAAGGGGAGCAGCCCAGACUGGCCCUGGCUGGUUAGGGCCAUGCUGGAUGGAUUCAGGCCCAAUAUUACCAGUUCUUCCUGUCAAAUCCAAACUAGGGGCAAAACAUUAUUUUACUUUUUCCGUAACCACUCACGAUCCAUCCCUAUUAGUUUUGGGGUGUUUUUUAAACCGUUAUUUUUGAAUAGGCAAUAGGUAACCACCAUCACCAGUUUCUUUUGUUUUCUUUCUGGGAUAAUCAAUGUAUAUGCAAUGCAAACGAGAGCACAUGUGCCUUGUUUGAUUCACUCAGUAUUACUGCAAUUCUUUCUAACAGCAAUGAAUUCAAACUUGUUUCCAGAUUAUAUGGGUCAGCUGGUACCUCUGGUUGGAGCUGUAGAGCAUAAGAAGUUGGCCUUUAGUCCUGAAGGAGAAAACUGAGGUCAAGGUAGUGAAGGGACAGGGAAGGCUGGGGUAAGUGGCCUGGCUAGGUCGCACACCCUUGCUCUCACUUCACUGCCCGCCAAAGCUAGCUCUUUUGCUCUGGACUCAGCUGGACAGAUCAAUGGAACAGCACUGAUAUACGUGCCAGACAGCACGGUGCCAGCUGCAAAGACAACAUAAAUUUCCCAAAGGGCAGGCUGUCUUGGAGGGAGGGAAGGGUGGCUCCAGAAAGCCGGGAGGGGCACAUCAAAUUGCCAGGGGCUGCAGGACCAGGUGAGUCCAGGUGCCAGCGCAUGACUGUGGCACAAAGCAGGGGUGGCCUGGUGGAGGGACCUCAAGAUUUAAGCAGUGAGGAAAAUAACAGACCUCUUCCAAGCGCAGCUUUCCCAACCUGGCAGACUUUGGCCAGGCCCAGACCCAGGAGUCUCACCCAGGCCGGCGGGGUGAUGCCUGCCCUGCAGAUCUGAUGCAGGGUGUCGGUGACUGAGUUUACAUAUCAACACUUUUCAUUUUCCCCUCUCCAAGGAAACCAGGCCCAGAGCCUGAUCCACUUAGCUCCUCCCACACCAUCAACAAAGAUAUUUACUAUGUUCCCAACCAGGGAGCUGGCGAGGAUGUAAACGGUCUUGCCAUCCUUAUGUCCUCUACACCCCAUCUGGAAAGGGGAGUCCUUGUGCUUAUGGCCCCCAUUUCCUUAUCUAGCUCCCUUCUAGUCUGCAACAUUCCAGCUCAUUCUCUUUUAUUUAUACCUCAAAUAUUUAUAUAUACUUUCCAAAAGAGACUGGAAGCAUCUGCCAAGAAGUGUGGAUUCCCUCAGUGGGAAUGGAAUCUUUUGGGGUUUGUAAACAGGGAGUGAUGCAAUCAACUUUGCAUUUGAUUAAAGCUGCUCUGGCCCCUAACGUGGGGGGUGCAGGAGGAGCACCAGGCACUAGAAACCUGUCUGCUGUGAAAACAAAAGAUACAGGCCCUAAGGAGGGCAGGAAGCAAUGGGGAGGAGGAAAAAGAGCCUAGGACGACUGGGGAAUCUUGCUGGGUGACUGUAUGCCAGGGGCUCCUUUUUUUCUUUUUUUUUUUUUUUUUUGAGACAGAGUUUCACUCUUGUUGCCCUGGCUGGAGUGCAAUGGCACAAUGGCGCGAUCUCGGCUCACCGCAACCUCCGCCUCCUGGGUUCAAGCGAUUCUCCUGCCUCAGCCUCCCAAGUAGCUGGGAUUACAGGCACCCGCCACCACCAUGCCUGGCUAAUUUUUGUAUUUUUAGUAGAGACGGGGUUUCAUCAUGUUGGCCAGGCUGGUCUCAAACUCCUGACCUCAGGUGAUGCCCCCUGCCUCGGCCUCCCAAAGUGUUGGGAUUACAGGCGUGAGCCACCACACCCGGCCCGGGGCUCCCUUCUCAGACAUGUGAAAUGCAGGUGGGACAGGUUGGAGACAAGAAGACAUCCAGCUACACAGCACUCAGCUUGAGUGAGUGUGGCGUGGGGCUCAGGAGGCAGCUGGAGCUCCAGGCUGGAGGGAUCCAGGCACCAUCAGCAGGGAGAUGGCAGCUGGCAUCAAGGAGGGCAUGCAGUGCAUGGGGCCAACCAUGCUGGGGAUACAGAGCUCUCUAAGAACUCGCAGGCCUCUCUCCAGGAGCAGGCACCCCUCCCACCCACCCGCUAUUUCAGGAGUGAAUGUGGAAGAUGUCCUAUGCACGAGCAGCAGAGGUGGAGGCUGACCUACGAGGCUGAAUGAACGAGUCUGUGAAGGAUUCUGCCAAGCAGCCAGAGGGAGGAGAACACGGAAGGCUUUUAAGGAGUGAGACCAACACUACUAGGACGCCCCACUGGACUCAGACGAGAUGAGGCUGGAGACACAGCCACUGGAUGAGCAGUCCUGGGCACAGGUGAGGCCACAGUGGGACUGCAGAGGUUAAGUGAAUGCCCUGAGGAACUGGGUCAGUGGCUUUUUAGAUGGAGAUGAUGGCUCAGCAAAGGGAGAGAGCAAAGAAGCAGGCAGACAGAGGCAGGCAACUGUGCAUGCUCACACCAGGAACAUGGUUUACAGAAGAGGAAACGGAGCAGAAAGACCCCACCGGGACAGAAAUCGGCCCUUCCCUGUUGCCCUCCAACACACAGCCCUGCACCAGUGUGGCCCCGUCCUGCCCUCACCAGAUGCAGGCCUGGGUCUUGGUGAUGGGUCGUGCAUAACCCUCAUUCUCUUGGGGGUCAGUGACCUCUGCUGUGUUUCUGGUCCAUCACCUGCACACUGCAAACAGGUAGCCCAGUAGGACUGAGAACCAGCCGGCGCCCACCUGUGCAGACCCAACUAACCAUCAGGCUGCCCGCAGACACAAGGAGGAUGGCUUCCCGCACGUCCACCUGCUUCAGCACUCCUCCAGAAGGAGCCGUCCUUGUCCUAACUAUGGAAAUGAAGGGAACAGAGACCUCCUGGCCCAGCAACAGAGUCUGGAAAGAGGACUGGUGACAAGGAUGGCACUUGGGCCCUUUGAGGGAGGCUGACUGAGAACCAGGGAAGAUGGUCCCAGGCGUUGGUACUGAGCAACCUCAGGGAUAAGUCGGCAGAAGCUCCAGGCCUGCAUAGCAGGAAUACUUCUGGUUGUUUUUCUAACCACGAAGAGCAACUAUAUGGAGGACCCAGCCUAUUGAACUACCUCAUGUUUGCCAGAGACUUGGCUUUUCUGCCACAGUGUCCUCCUGAAACCCCCCGACCUUGAAAAUGUUUCACGGGAGACUAGGUUUCAACUGGAUAGCAUCAAGACUUGAUCUCUGGCUAGUGGAAGAUUGAAAAUUAGACUAAGGUGCAGAGACACCAAGGGACACCACGGUUAGGUGAGGGUUUCCUAAUCCUAGGGCAUGGGACUUGCUUCACACACCAGGUCCGUCCUUCACUGGACUGUGCUAGGCCUACCAUCCACAACAGAGGGUAUGCGUGUGUAUUCGUAAAAGACGUGACUUGGGAACGCUAAAUUUUAAGACCAGUGCCCCUGUACCCAUCCUGUGCUGUCCAGGGAAGGAUAUAUGAAGC
rnacentral:lncRNA from 1 species